CAAUAGCGUAUAUUUAAGUUGUUGCAGUUAAAAAGCUCGUAGUUGGAUUUCGGUUAAGAGCGACCGGUCCGCCGUUUGGUGUGCACUGGUUGGUUUUAACUUCCUGUAGAGGACGUGCUCUGGGUUUAACGACCUGGACUCGGAGUCUACGUGGUUACUUUGAAAAAAUUAGAGUGUUCAAAGCGGGCUUACGCUUGAAUAUUUCAGCAUGGAAUAACACUAUAGGACUCCUGUCCUAUUUCGUCGGUCUCGGGACAGGAGUAAUGAUUAAGAGGAACAGUUGGGGGCAUUCGUAUUUCAUUGUCAGAGGUGAAAUUCUUGGAUUUAUGAAAGACGAACUUCUGCGAAAGCAUUUGCCAAGGAUGUUUUCAUUAA
rnacentral:rRNA from 1 species